rnacentral:rRNA from 1 species
GAUGAACGCUGGCGGCGUGCCUAAUACAUGCAAGUCGAGCGAACGGACGAGAAGCUUGCUUCUCUGAUGUUAGCGGCGGACGGGUGAGUAACACGUGGAUAACCUACCUAUAAGACUGGGAUAACUUCGGGAAACCGGAGCUAAUACCGGAUAAUAUUUUGAACCGCAUGGUUCAAAAGUGAAAGACGGUCUUGCUGUCACUUAUAGAUGGAUCCGCGCUGCAUUAGCUAGUUGGUAAGGUAACGGCCUACCAAGGCAACUAUGCAUAGCCGACCUGAGAGGCGGAUCGGCCACCUGGGAACGGGGACACGGUCCAUACUCCUGCGGGAGGCAGCAGUAUGGAAUCUUCCGCAAUGGGCGAAAGCCUGACGGAGCAACGCCGCGUGAGUGAUGAAGGUCUUCGGAUCGUAAAACUCUGUUAUUAGGGAAGAACAUAUGUGUAAGUAACUGUGCACAUCUUGACGGUACCUAAUCAGAAAGCCACGGCUAACUACGUG